CAAACGGUUCUUUUCAGAACCAUCGGAAAUGCUUCCUAGAGAGUUAAU
rfam:Aedes albopictus isolate Foshan contig56696, whole genome shotgun sequence.